rnacentral:piRNA from 1 species
UCCUAAAUGAAUAUGUAAUUUCAGCCAGG